AGCUCCAAUAGCGUAUAUUAAAGUUGCUGCGGUUAAAAAGCUCGUAGUCGGAUCUCAGUCUCGGUCGGACGGUCCAUUUCACGAUGGUACUGUUCGAAUCGGACAUUUGGCCGCGUUUCUCAGUAUGCUCUUGACUGAGUGUACUGUGAGAGUGGCACGUUUACUUUGAAAAAAUUAGAGUGUUCAAAGCAGGCUUUUCAAGCCCGGAUACAUGAGCAUGGAAUAAUGGAAUAGGACCGCGGUUCUAUUUUGUUGGUUUCUACGACCGCAGUAAUGAUUAAGAGGGACAAUUGGGGGCGUCCGUAUUUCGUUGUCAGAGGUGAAAUUCUUGGAUUUACGAAAGACGAACAACUGCGAAAGCAUUCGCCAAGAGUGUUUUCAUUAAUCAAGAACGAAAGUA
rnacentral:rRNA from 1 species